rnacentral:rRNA from 1 species
GAUACACAGGUGCCAACUCCCCCCAGGGGUGGGAAACAUUUGGGACCGGGUUUUUAUCGGAAAUAAAUUUUGGUCCCCAAACAAAAAUUAAAAGGGCUUUGGGCUUCACAAGAAGAGGUUCCCGCGCCCAUUAUUUAGUGGGGGGGAAAAGGCUCCACAAGACAAAUGGUGCAAGCCGGGUUGGAGGAUUGUUCGCCACCUUGGGGAUGGGACCCGGCCCAAAUUCCUUCGGGGGAGCUCCAGUAGGGAUCUUCCACAAUGGGCCGAAACCUGAUGGAGCAACGCCGCGUGUGUGAUGAAGCUUUCGGGUCGUAAAGCACUGUUGUAUGGGAAGAACAGCUAGAAUAGGAAAUGAUUUUAGUUUGACGGUACCAUACCAGAAAGGGACGGCUAAAUACGUGCCAGCAGCCGCGGUAAUACGUAUGUCCCGAGCGUUAUCCGGAUUUAUUGGGCGUAAAGCGAGCGCAGACGGUUUAUUAAGUCUGAUGUGAAAGCCCGGAGCUCAACUCCGGGAAUGGCAUUGGAAACUGGUUAACUUGAGUGCAGUAGAGGUAAGUGGAACUCCAUGUGUAGCGGUGGAAUGCGUAGAUAUAUGGAAGAACACCAGUGGCGAAGGCGGCUUACUGGACUGCAACUGACGUUGAGGCUCGAAAGUGUGGGUAGCAAACAGGAUUAGAUACCCUGGUAGUCCACACCGUAAACGAUGAACACUAGGUGUUAGGAGGUUUCCGCCUCUUAGUGCCGAAGCUAACGCAUUAAGUGUUCCGCCUGGGGAGUACGACCGCAAGGUUGAAACUCAAAGGAAUUGACGGGGACCCGCACAAGCGGUGGAGCAUGUGGUUUAAUUCGAAGCAACGCGAAGAACCUUACCAGGUCUUGACAUCCUUUGAAGCUUUUAGAGAUAGAAGUGUUCUCUUCGGAGACAAAGUGACAGGUGGUGCAUGGUCGUCGUCAGCUCGUGUCGUGAGAUGUUGGGUUAAGUCCCGCAACGAGCGCAACCCUUAUUGUUAGUUGCCAGCAUUCAGAUGGGCACUCUAGCGAGACUGCCGGUGACAAACCGGAGGAAGGCGGGGACGACGUCAGAUCAUCAUGCCCCUUAUGACCUGGGCUACACACGUGCUACAAUGGCGUAUACAACGAGUUGCCAACCCGCGAGGGUGAGCUAAUCUCUUAAAGUACGUCUCAGUUCGGAUUGUAGUCUGCAACUCGACUACAUGAAGUCGGAAUCGCUAGUAAUCGCGGAUCAGCACGCCGCGGUGAAUACGUUCCCGGGUCUUGUACACACCGCCCGUCACACCAUGGGAGUUUGUAAUGCCCAAAGCCGGUGGCCUAACCUUUUAGGAAGGAGCCGUCUAAGGCAGGACAGAUGACUGGGGGAAGUCUAACAUGGAGUCAGGUCC